rnacentral:rRNA from 1 species
UAAUACGAAGGGGGCUAGCGUUGUUCGGAAUUACUGGGCGUAAAGGGCGCGUAGGCGGUCCUGAUCGUCGGAUGUGAAAGGCCUGGGCUCAACCUGGGAAUGGCAUCCGAUACGGCGGGACUGGAGUGUGGGAGAGGUUGGUGGAAUUCCCAGUGUAGAGGUGAAAUUCGUAGAUAUUGGGAAGAACACCGGUGGCGAAGGCGGCCAACUGGACCACAACUGACGCUGAGGCGCGAAAGCGUGGGGAGCAAACAGGAUUAGAUACCCUGGUAGUCCACGCUGUAAACGAUGCGUGCUAGACGUUGGGCACCCUAGGUGUCCGGUGUCGUCGCUAACGCUUUAAGCACGCCGCCUGGGGAGUACGGCCGCAAGGUUA